AACCUACGGGGCGCAGCAGUGGGGAAUAUUGCGCAAUGGGCGAAAGCCUGAUGCAGCAACGCCGCGUGAAGGAAGACGGUUUUCGGAUUGUAAACUUCUAUCAAUAGGGAAGAAAGAAAUGACGGUACCUAAAUAAGAAGCCCCGGCUAACUACGUGCCAGCAGCCGCGGUAAUACGUAGGGGGCGAGCGUUAUCCGGAUUUACUGGGUGUAAAGGGCGUGUAGGCGGGCUUGCAAGUCAG
rnacentral:rRNA from 1 species